GGAAAUGAAAGCGAACUCAGCACACUUUUUUUUUUUUUAUUAUCCCCGGCGCCAUUAUUUCUGAUGCUGACAGGACUACUACGCCACCUGCAUCUGGGCCAGCAUCCUCCGAGGGAAGGCGGACUAAUGAAGUGCGAGGGGCCAGAUGGAGGAGGGUCGAAAUCUCUGGGAAGAAGCGGUGACUCAGAAGGAAGGGACCCAAUUUUGGGAGCGGAGGAACUUCCGCCAGACGCUCCGGCAGCGCGUUGGAAACCAUGAGGGGGGCUAGCGAACGAGAGUGACACUGCCAGACGAAAGAACAAGCGGAAGAGACGACCUUGUGCAUGAGCUGAAAAGCUAAAAGGAC